UUUUGCCAAUGAUUUCCAAUUUUUGUUGUCUAUACAGAAAGAAAAUAGAAAAUCACAGCCCUUUCUAAGCAGACAGAUAGAUACAAUAGUAUUAUUUCUUGAACUGUGCAUUUGGAAAUGGAAUUUGAAUUGGGGACUUCAUUUGAUUAUCUUUGAAAGUGCUUGUCGAGAAGUCAUCACAUUUCAUGGAAACUUUUCAUUGUUGAUGUGAUCACCUUCGACAAAGCAUUUUUCUUCAUCAGGGCUUUGUUGUUUAGUGAAGGUUUCUGGCUGUGAUGAUAGAGUUAUUUUCUUGAGUUGUUGGCAUAGAGUUAAAUCGGGUUGGUUUCUGGCUGUGAUGAUAGAGUUAUUUUCUUGAGUUGUUGGCAUAGAGUUAAAUCGGGUUGGUUUCUGGCUGUGAUGAUAGAGUUAUUUUCUUGAGUUGUUGGCAUAGAGUUAAAUCUGACCCGUAUCUUGGCUAGGCAACCCUGAUGGCAUGUGAUCUGAGAGGGGGUGGGCUUUCAAUUAGCUCCUCCUUUCUCCCUCACAUAUGCAACUGGGAAAUUGCAGCGAUGGCGUUGUCGCCUCGUCUUUUGCCUUGUCUUGUUACAGAUCUGAACCUACUCCAAUACUCACAUAGUGUAUGAUGAUGGACCUUUAUCAUGUUCUUUAUAUUUUUCAUGAAAGAUUUCCCCUGCUUAAUUCCUUAAAUUCUAUAACCUUUUGGUAUCUCAUGUUACUUUCUUUGUUUUGGUGUAAAA
rnacentral:lncRNA from 1 species